GGAGGAAGUGCUCUGUGAGAGGGGCCUGGGAGAGAAUCAGGAGAACAGGGUACAACAGCUGGUGAGAGUUUUGCUUCUGAUAUAGACAAUGCCUGGAGAGCAAACCAUUACAGCUAAGAGAGAUCUUUAAGUGAAAGAAAAGGAGAAGGCUCCAUUUCAGCUUAUUAGAGGACUUGAAUUUGUCUAAUGUCUUGCCUGGGAAAAGCAGCUCAGUUCUCUCUGAAAAGGAAAACCCAAGACAGAAAGCGUGGAUGUGGAAGAAGGCUGGAGUGCAGUGGCGCGAUCUCGGCUCACUGCAAGCUCUGCCUCCUGGGUUCACGCCAUUCUCCUGCCUCAGCCUCCCGAGUAGCUGGGACUACAGGCGCCCACCACCACAUCCGGCUAAUUGCUUUUAGCACUUUUUUGGGAGAGGUGUGUGGCAACAGUAAAGCUUUCUACAUGUUAAACAGAAUGAACAAAACCAACGCAGAGCAGUGACUUCCUGUCAGAGCAGAAGGAGACCCUUAUAGAACAGCUGUGCCACUGCUCCAAAGGCCUCGUGUGGUUCUAUCCCUUGGACUGCCUUUCUUCAACAGCCCAGACACCUGCUCUGUCAGAUUUAUAAGCCACACCCCCUAGAGCCAUGCCAAUCAAAGCAUGGC
rnacentral:lncRNA from 1 species